ACGGAAGAUGCGAGCGUUAUCCGGAUUUAUUGGGUUUAAAGGGAGCGUAGGCGGGCUUUUAAGUCAGCGGUCAAAUGUCACGGCUCAACCGUGGCCAGCCGUUGAAACUGCAAGCCUUGAGUCUGCACAGGGCACAUGGAAUUCGUGGUGUAGCGGUGAAAUGCUUAGAUAUCACGAAGAACUCCGAUCGCGAAGGCAUUGUGCCGGGGCAGCACUGACGCUGAGGCUCGAAAGUGCGGGUAUCAAACAG
rnacentral:rRNA from 1 species